rnacentral:tRNA from 1 species
AAAAACGUAGUUUAUCUGGUAAAAAAGGAUUUGCACUGCAUUCCUGAAAUAAGUUCGAGGCUUAUCGUUUUUU